rnacentral:rRNA from 1 species
GCUCCAAUAGCGUAUAUUAAAGUUGUUGCGGUUAAAAAGCUCGUAGUUGGAUUUCUGCUGAGGACGACCGGUCCGCCUCCUGGGCGAGUAUCUGGCUCUGCCUUGGCAUCUUCUUGGAGAACGUAACUGCACUUGACUGUGUGGUGCGGUAACCAGGACUUUUUACUUUGAGGAAAUUAGAGUGUUUCAAGCAGGCGUGC